AUGUUCUUUCCAUAACAGCCCAUAACAUGUCAAAGAUCAUUGACGGAUGCAGAAGGGCAAGAAGCACAUACUUUAUUACGACUACAUAAAUAUAAAGGAGUUAUGGCUCCUUACCUGGAGGAGGGAGAUAACUGGACAUUUGUUCAUUGCAAUUUGGAAAGCAAAGGAAUUACAUAUUGUGAUUCACUUGGAGAGCUGAAAGAAAAAUGUGAACGUAUCAAAGACAGCUGGG